rnacentral:rRNA from 1 species
GACGAACGCUGGCGGCGUGCUUAACACAUGCAAGUCGAACGGAAAGGCCCUGCUUUUGUGGUGUGCUCGAUUGGCGAACGGGUGAGUAACACGUGAGUAACCUGCCCUUGACUUUGGGAUAACUUCAGGAAACUGGGGCUAAUACCGGAUAGGAGCUCCUGCUGCAUGGUGGGGGUUGGAAAGUUUCGGCGGUUGGGGAUGGACUCGCGGCUUAUCAGCUUGUUGGUGGGGUAGUGGCUUACCAAGGCUUUGACGGGUAGCCGGCCUGAGAGGGUGACCGGCCACAUUGGGACUGAGAUACGGCCCAGACUACUACGGGAGGCAGCAGUGGGGAAUAUUGCACAAUGGGCGGAAGCCUGAUGCAGCAACGCCGCGUGAGGGAUGACGGCCUUCGGGUUGUAAACCGCUUUCGCCUGUGACGAAGCGUGAGUGACGGUAAUGGGUAAAGAAGCACCGGCUAACUACGUG